rnacentral:rRNA from 1 species
UCCUCCUACGGGAGGCAGCAGUCGGGAAUAUUGCGCAAUGGAGGAAACUCUGACGCAGUGACGCCGCGUAUAGGAAGAAGGUUUUCGGAUUGUAAACUAUUGUCGUUAGGGAAGAAAAAAGACAGUACCUAAGGAGGAAGCUCCGGCUAACUACGUGCCAGCAGCCGCGGUAAUAAGUAGGGAGCACGCGAUAUCCGGAAUUAUUGGGUGUAAAGGGUGCGUAGACGGGAGUCUAAGCUAGUUGUGAA